GUGCCAGCAGCCGCGGUAAUUCCAGCUCCAGUAGCGUAUAUUAAAGCUGUUGCGGUUAAAAAGCUCGUAGUUGGAUAUCAGUGCGUGUCCGGUCCGGUAUGCCUGGCACUGUCGCUCUGCGGCAGCGCUGGGCUCCCAAAUAUCGGCUGGCCGCAUUCAAUCGUGCCGGAUCCGUCGACGGGCCGUUUUUCGGAGGGGCCUGUUGGCGACCGGCGACGUUACCUUGAACAAAUUAGAGUGCUCAAAGCAGGCUCUGAAUGCCUGUAUACAUAUUCAUGGAAUUGGAGAAUACGUCCCUGGCUCGAUUUGGUUGGUUUUGAGAGUCGAAGGGAAAUGAUUAAUAGGGACUGACGGAGGCAUUCGUAUUGCGACGCGAGGGGUGAAAUCCUGUGACCGUCGCACGACGAACUACUGCGAAAGCAUUUGCCGAGAAUGUUUUCAUUAGUCAAGAACGAAAGUUAGAGGUUCGAAGAC
rnacentral:rRNA from 1 species